AGAAAGUACUUCCUGAAUGUCUACCAUGUGCAAGCCAUUUGUGUUAGGAGCUGCCGAAGAUCCAAAGCAGAUCAGAAGGAAGUAUGCUCACUGGAGCAUAUCCACGAAGAUAAACUGUAAACAUGCACUUACAAGGACAGCUCAGCCCAUGGUGAUUUGAUUUGCUGCUCUAAAUUCUUCAUGGAGCUCUCUGCAGCACUCUCGGUGUAUUGGAAAAUUGGGGAUUGUGUAUCAUAGCAUUUCAGACACGUGGUGCCCAAAUGCUGCUUCCAGAUCCACUUGAGCUGGCUGACUCACUUAGUCACACUACAUCAUUAUUAAUAUCAAAUAAUAAACAUGAGUAGCAGAUAA